UGAGAUGGCCAGACAGCGACUCAUCCAUGCACAAAGACGAUCCCAAAGACCCAAACCCCUAAAUUCCAAGCCAAAAUAAAUAAAUAAAACCUUCCCUGCCUGUCAUCCCCACCACCAAUUCUAUCUAAGAAUUUUACAUCCAAAACACGCGCAAAACGUAUCUCUACAGCAAUCUCAAAAUCAAUCACGCACUGAAACAACAACGUUAUAAAAACCAAAACCAUAACCAAAACAAAAAAUAUUACCCAUAAAAAGGUCCUUAGAAAUUAACUUCCUUCCCUUGUAAAGACACAAACUUCUAAAAUUUCAAUCUUUCCAUCUGGGGUUUGCCUAAACUUGCAAAUAAUAAUCUUUCAUGGGUGUUUAUGAGGCUGGUGUGAAUGGCACCGCAACAGCGACAUCUUGUAGCUUCUGGAAUACGAGCAUGAGGUGUUGGUGCAGAUGGAGAUGGGAAAACCAUCAACAACAGCAGCAGCAGCAUAAUGUUUUGCGCCAAAGAUUGGUUUCUCUAGUGUUUUCCUCUGGUUUUACGUUCUUUUUGGGGUAUUUGGUUUUGUAUGGAUCUAUUGGCAUGUUUUAUGCUUGGCUUAUGUUUAGUAAGCCUUAUUUACGUAGCACAAAUGCUGGUGUUGGGUUAAAGUCACUUGGUUGUCAAGAAGACAACGAGGGUUCUUGGUCUAUUGGUGUCUUUUAUGGUGAUUCUCCUUUCUCUCUCAAACCAAUUGAAGCUAUGAAUGAAUGGAGACAUGAGGGUGCGGCAUGGCCUAUUGCCAACCCCGUUGUCACUUGUGCUUCGCUUUCUGAUGCUGGCUUCCCCAGUAAUUUUGUUGCUGACCCGUUUCUUUAUGUUCAGGGGGAUACACUUUUCCUCUUCUAUGAAACAAAAAAUUCAAUAACCAGUCAAGGAGAUAUUGGAGUUGCGAAAAGUAUUGACAAGGGAGCGACAUGGCAACAGUUGGGCAUUGCCUUGGAUGAGGACUGGCAUCUAUCCUAUCCCUAUGUAUUCAACUACCUUGGCCAAAUAUAUAUGAUGCCUGAGAGCAGCCAGAAAGGGGACCUUCGUCUUUAUCGAGCUCUUAACUUUCCAUUGCAGUGGACACUGGAUAAGGUUCUUAUAAAAAAUCCCCUUGCAGAUUCUUUUAUCAUUAAUCGUGCUGGAGAAUAUUGGCUUUUUGGUUCAGAUCACAGUGGUGUUGGAACCAGGAAGAAUGGGCAACUGGAAAUCUGGUAUAGUAGCUCACCACUUGGUCCCUGGAAACCACACAAGAAGAAUCCCAUUUAUAAUGUUGACAAGAGUGUGGGAGCUAGGAAUGGAGGCAGGCCAUUUGUGUAUGAUGGAAACCUUUAUCGUGUUGGUCAAGACUGUGGUGAAACAUAUGGAAGACGAGUCCGUAUCUUCAAGGUAGAAGUUCUUACCAAGGACGAUUACAAAGAAGUUGAAGUUCCCCUGGGAUUUGAAGAGUCCAAUAAGGGACUCAAUGCUUGGAAUGGUGCACGCUACCAUCAUCUUGAUGUGCAGCAACUAAGCUCUGGUAAAUGGAUAGCUGUCAUGGAUGGAGAUCGUGUAUCUUCAGGAGAUCCAGUCCAUCGCUUUGUUCUCGGCUCUGCUUCAUUUGCUGCUGUCACUGCUGUUGUUGUUGUAUUGGGUGUGCUACUUGGAGCAGUGAAGUGCAUUAUUCCCCUCAACUGGUGUGCUCACUUCUCAGGGAAGAGAAAUAAUGCUCUCUUGGGUCGGGCAAGGUCGAAUUUGUUUUCUUCAAAGGUGAGACGUUUUUGCAGCCGAUUGAACAGGGUUCCUCUGUCUGUUCGAGGAAAAAUAAAGCCUAAUACUUGGGCUGGAAAAUUGGUUUUGGCUGUAAUAUUUGCAGUUGGAGUUGCAUUGAUGUGCACAGGUGUUAAAUAUUUCUUUGGAGGCAAUGGUGCUGAGGGAGCUUAUCCGUUAAAUGGUUCCUACUCUCAGUUCACUUUAUUGACGAUGACAUAUGAUGCACGGCUCUGGAAUUUGAAAAUGUAUGCGAGGCAUUAUUCAAGGUGUUCUUCUGUUAAAGAGAUUGUUGUGGUUUGGAACAAGGGCAUGCCUCCCAGAUCGAGUGAUCUAGACUCCACUGUGCCUGUAAGGAUCAGAGUAGAAGACCAAAACUCACUGAACAAUCGGUUCAAGGAAGAUCCUAAGAUUAAGACCCGUGCUGUUCUCGAGCUUGAUGAUGAUAUCAUGAUGUCUUGUGACGAUAUAGAACGGGGAUUCAAUGUGUGGCGUCAACACCCAGAUCGGAUUGUUGGCUUCUAUCCCCGACUCGUUCGUGGUAGUCCAUUGCAGUAUAGGGAUGAGAAAUAUGCCCGGCGUCAUGAAAGUUAUAACAUGAUUCUUACUGGGGCAGCUUUCAUUGACCGUACACUAGCUUUUGAGAGGUACUGGAGUAGUGAAGCUAAGGCAGGAAGGGAUCUGGUAGAUAGAUACUUCAACUGCGAGGAUGUGCUUUUGAAUUACUUGUAUGCAAAUGCAAGCUCGUCCCAGACUGUUGAGUAUGUGAGGCCAACAUGGGUAAUAGACACAUCGAAAUUUACUGGGGUAGCAAUUAGCAAGAAUACAAGUGAGCAUUACAAUAUAAGAAGUAAUUGCCUCCUGAAAUUUUCAGAGAUCUAUGGAAGUAUAGCUGGCCGAAAGUGUGAAUUUAAUGGGCGCAAGGAUGGUUGGGAUUUAUAGUGAUGCCUAAUCUUGACAGCAGCACACUUGAGGUCAUAAAUUCUCUUACUCUUAAGAUAUUGGAUAAGGAAAAGAAAACGUAAAAAGCAACCUCCAAUCACUGGAAGCUGGGAGAUUUUGGUCUGGCAAAAGACACGAUGCUCUUCCCUUCGGUGAUAUUGAGGUGGAGAUUUUGGUCUUUUGAAGGUCCAACUGACAGGUCUCGGACUGAAAGGUGUUUAUCUGGGAGUGGCUUUGCACUUUGAAAGGGCUCUUUCGGUUCUUACAGAGAUAAAUUACAGAAACAAAGACAACCCAGGCCCUAGUGCCACGGAGCAUCACCCCCAGGAAGCCAUCUCAAAUAUGAGAACAAUGGUUCAGGGAAUCAGGGAUUUUCGUCAAGCAAGGUACAUGCGGGGCCAGUGAUGUUGAAUACUAAACUCAAUCUAGAAGGUCAAGGAAGGCAACCACCGGCCAGCCAGCCACCAGCUAUGACCGACCAGCCGCCAGCCGCCAGCCGCAGCCGCCAGCCGCCUUCACACCACCAUCCACAGCCGCCUUCACACUUGGAAAGGUUGAAUUAUCUUGUUUUGAAUUCGUGUAUAAAUAGCAAGCUGAGCUUAUGCUAUUAGGUGUGGGAGAGUAGAGAGAAUAGAGAGAAACACUAGAGAGAAAGAGAGGGUGUGUAUUGUUAAGCUUGUUGUAAGUUUAUUUUGUGUUUUGUAAGCUUGUGUUUUUGAAAUAAAACUUUGUGUUUUAUACC